rnacentral:rRNA from 1 species
UGGGUAGGGGAGCGUCGUGUGCCGGGUGAAGCAGCGCCGGAAGGUAGUUGUGGACGGUUCACGAGUGAGAAUGCAGGCAUGAGUAGCGAUACACACGUGGGAAACGUGUGCGCCGAUUGACUAAGGGUUCCUGGGUCAAGCUGAUCUGCCCAGGGUAAGUCGGGACCUAAGGCGAGGCCGACAGGCGUAGUCGAUGGACAACCGGUUGAUAUUCCGGUACCCGCUUUGAAGCGCCAAACAUCGAAUCC